AUGCAAGUCGAGCGAAGCUUUUCAGUAGUUUACUACAGAAAAUGACUGAGCGGCGAACGGGUGAGUAACGCGUGAGCAAUCUACCUUAGUUACAGGGAUAGCCCGAGGAAACUCGGAUUAAUACCUGAUAUUCUUUACAUUUCGCAUGAAAUCAAAAGGAAAGGUCAGCCGAACUAAGAUGAGCUCGCGUUCUAUCAGCUAGUUGGUGAGGUAAAAGCUCACCAAGGCAACGACGGAUAGCUGGUCUGAGAGGACGAUCAGCCACACUGGGACUGAGACACGGCCCAGACUCCUACGGGAGGCUGCAGCAGGGAAUAUUGCGCAAUGAGCGAAAGCUUGACGCAGCGACACCGCGUGUGGGAUGACGGAUCUAGGUUUGUAAACCACUUUCAGGAGGGAAGAAAAUGACGGUACCUCCACAAGAAGCCCCGGCCAACUACGUGCCAGCAGCCGCGGUAAUACGUAGGGGGCGAGCGUUGUCCGGAUUUAUUGGCGUAAAGAGUUCGUAGGCGGUUCAACAAGUCGGUCGUAAAAGUUCAGGGCUCAACCCUGAAAUGUCGAUCGAUACUGUUGUGACUAGGAUACGGUAGAGGUGAGUGGAAUUCCGAGUGUAGCGGUGAAAUGCGUAGAUAUUCGGAGGAACACCAAUUGCGAAGGCAGCUCACUGGGCCGCUAUCGACGCUGAGGAGCGAAAGCUAGGGGAGCAAACAGGAUUAGAUACCCUGGUAGUCCUAGCUGUAAACGAUGGAUACUAGACGUAGGAACUGGAUUGACGGUUUCUGUGUCGUAGCUAACGCGUUAAGUAUCCCGCCUGGGGAGUACGGUCGCAAGACUAAAACUCAAAGGAAUUGACGGGACCCCGCACAAGCGGCGGAGCAUGCGGCUUAAUUCGAUGAUACCCGUAGAACCUUACCUGCACUUGACAUAUAGGGUCUAGCUAUAGAGAUAUAGUGUGCAUUAGCGCCCUAUACAGGUGGUGCAUGCUGUCGUCAGCUCGUGUCGUGAGAUGUUGGGUAAGUCCCGCACGAGCGCAACCCUACUUUUAGUGCCACCAUUUAGUUGGCACUUUAAAAGAACUGCCAGUGAUAAGCUGGGAGG
rnacentral:rRNA from 1 species